UCCCAGAUCGUCUAAUGGUUUAAGAUUCGGCCCUCUCACGGCCGCGAUCGGGGUUCGAUUCCCCGUCUGGGAG